rnacentral:rRNA from 1 species
AGCGAACGCUGGCGGCAGGCCUAACACAUGCAAGUCGAGCGCCGUAGCAAUACGGAGCGGCAGACGGGAGAGUAACACGUGGGAACGUACCCUUUGGUUCGGAACAACCCAGGGAAACUUGGGCUAAUACCGGAUAAGCCCUCACGGGGAAAGAUUCAUCGCCGAAGGAUCGGCCCGCGUCUGAUUAGCUAGUUGGUGGGGUAAUGGCCCACCACGGCGACGAUCAGUAGCUGGUCUGAGAGGCUGAUCAGCCUCACUGGGACUGAGACACGGCGCAGACUCCUGCGGGAGGCAGCAGUGGGGAAUAUUGGAAAAUGGGCGGAAGCCUGAUCCAGCCAUGCCGGGUGGGUGAAGAAGGCCCUAGGGUUGUAAAGCCCUUUCGGCGGGGAAGAUAACGACGGUACCCGCAGAAGAAGCCCCGGCUAACUUCGUGCCAGCCGCCGCCGUAAUAC